AUUUCUNAGUGGUGGAGCAGCAGCAGGAAGUUUGGGAUGAAAAGAGAGCUUAGGAAUGGAAAUUGUGAGCUGUUAAAGCUGAGAACAAUCAAAUUGGUCAUCAAGUCAAGGACUGACAUAUAUCGAGGAAGUUGCUGUCAGGAGUGGCAGAAUUGGGAGCUCGGACUGGUUGGAGCUGCCGAAAUGAAAAGUUCAACUCGGAGAGGUUAAGACUUGAGGUCGACGACGCGCUAACUACGGGUUCUAGUUCUAUUUAUACUGACUCGCGAGAGCUAGUUGUCGACGCAUUUCGAGACGUGGAUUCUAGUUGUUGACACCACUACAGGUUCCAGUGCGAGCGGUGUGGCCGAGGACCGUGGCAAGAGCCCCGCAGCUUAGCUAGCUGACACCAGAGUAUAGUAGUUUACCAUUUUGAGUUCAUGUGAGACAUUUUGAUGUA